rnacentral:rRNA from 1 species
AGUCAAGAAGAAAAGGGCACAAGGUGGAUGCCUUGGCACAUGAAGACUAAGAAGGACGUAAGUG